ACUAAGAUCAGUUUGAAAUUUGAGCUCAAUCGGUAAACUCAAAAUAUUUGAUUACUGAAACUAAAGAAAAAACACUAAAUAAGAAUAAUUCGUUAUAUUUGGUGAACAAUUUAACAAUUUUAUAAGAAUAAAUUCAAAUAAAAUUUUAGUGAAAUAAGCAACAAAUGGAACUGGAAAAAAAUAUAAUUUAAAAAAAAUUAAGACAAUUAAAAAAAUAAAAAUUUAUAUGUAUAUUAUCAGCUUACAGCAAAAUAUACAUAUUUAUCUUGUCCGUUUUUUGAAUAAAAAAACAUAACAUCAUUUAUUUAUUGCAAACAAACAUAAUUAAAAAUUUUAAUAUAGAAGCUCAUGAGUCUAAACUGAUAACAAUUUUUAAAGUGUAAAGAACUCUCUAUUUAUUAUUAUCAGCAUAAUCCCUCCAAUAUAUUGAACUUCACAAGUAAAAAUAUUUAAUUAACAAAACACAAUUCAUUAGAAUGAAAUAAAAUUCCUACAAUUUGUAUUUUUAAUAACAAAAUAUUAAAAUAAAAAAAAAAAAAACGAUUGAUAAAAGCAUGAGUAUAAAACUAAAUAAACAACUAUUUUAUUUAUAUGUAUGUAUAUAAAAAAUACAUAUGUGAGCGAGCAAUUUCAAAGCUUUUAUCCCCUCUGUUUUGUUUUUGUGCACAUACUCAAGUUAAGGUUAAGACCCUGCAAGACCAGCUAGCGAUAAUCCUUAUCAAUUUUUUUCCAUUGCUUGUGUUUGGUGAUGCUGCUUUAGAAACUACUACAGCCAACGGAGCUGCUGCUUUAAUUCUGUUUGCACAAGUGACUGUUACUAAAUGCAAUUUGAAAAUAUUUAUACAUAUAUAAAUAUUUAUCAAUAUUUUUGUUGCAAAAAUUGUUUACAAUUUCGCUGAAAUAUAAACAAAAAAAAAAUUAAAAAUAUAUAAAUAAAAAUAACAACAAUUAUUCAUGCGCUGAUAAAAUAAAAAAAUAUUUGCAUAGAAAACAUUAAUAAUAUUUAAAUAAAAAUGUUAUUAACUUCAAGUGGACGUUUAUUAACUAUACAAUAAUUAAAAGCUUCAUAAAUUGCAAUAAACUCGAGACCAACUUUAACGAUUGAAAAUACAUGAGUUAUUUGUCUGGGCUGUGCCGAUGCUGCCUGAAAAACUUAGAAGUCAUAAAAGAAGAUCGUAUUUUUACAAAAUAUAUAUAUAAAAAAAAAAUAACAUUGGCACACGCUAGAAGAAGCAUAACCUGGAGAAAAUAACAAGUUUUUGUGUACGUGCAAAUAAUGUGACUUUUGCGUGCAAAUUAUUAUCAUCUUGAGUUGAAGGAAUACGGGACAUGGUUGAAAAUGAGUGAAAAGAGAAAAUUCUCAAAUUUUUU